AGAGUUUGAUCAUGGCUCAGAACGAACGCUGGCGGCAGGCCUAAUACAUGCAAGUCGAGCGCACCUUCGGGUGAGCGGCGGACGGGUUAGUAACGCGUGGGAACGUACCCUUUUCUACGGAAUAGCCUUUGGAAACGAAGAGUAAUACCGUAUACGCCCUUUGGGGGAAAGAUUUAUCGGAGAAGGAUCGGCCCGCGUUAGAUUAGAUAGUUGGUGGGGUAACGGCCUACCAAGUCUACGAUCUAUAGCUGGUUUUAGAGGAUGAUCAGCAACACUGGGACUGAGACACGGCCCAGACUCCUACGGGAGGCAGCAGUGGGGAAUCUUAGACAAUGGGCGCAAGCCUGAUCUAGCCAUGCCGCGUGAGUGAUGAAGGCCUUAGGGUCGUAAAGCUCUUUCGCCUGUGAUGAUAAUGACAGUAGCAGGUAAAGAAACCCCGGCUAACUCCGUGCCAGCAGCCGCGGUAAUACGGAGGGGGUUAGCGUUGUUCGGAAUUACUGGGCGUAAAGCGCACGUAGGCGGAUUGGAAAGUUGGGGGUGAAAUCCCGGGGCUCAACCCCGGAACUGCCUCCAAAACUAUCAGUCUAGAGUUCGAGAGAGGUGAGUGGAAUUCCAAGUGUAGAGGUGAAAUUCGUAGAUAUUUGGAGGAACACCAGUGGCGAAGGCGGCUCACUGGCUCGAUACUGACGCUGAGGUGCGAAAGUGUGGGGAGCAAACAGGAUUAGAUACCCUGGUAGUCCACACCGUAAACGAUGAAUGCCAGUCGUCGGGCAGUAUACUGUUCGGUGACACACCUAACGGAUUAAGCAUUCCGCCUGGGGAGUACGGUCGCAAGAUUAAAACUCAAAGGAAUUGACGGG
rnacentral:rRNA from 1 species